GGGCCGCGCCGAAGCCGUUGCUGUAGGUCUGCGACUUGUGCUCCGCGGGCCCCGGGGAGUCGGCUCCGCCGGGCGCCAGCGACUCCACCGUGUUGACCGUGCGCAGCGCGGCGCGCGCCGGGCUGUAGCUCUGCGACCACAGCGAGCGGUUCUGCUGCGGGGUACCUGGGAAUCUUACCCUCAGCAGAUGGGCUGCUCUGGUUCCCCAGCCUGUCCACUCUGAGAAGACGAUUGGAACACACCUCAAGAUGCUGGCUACCUAGAGAGAGCCUGACUGCCUGUCAACCCGGAUUUCGAGGUCCUGAGUGAGGGGCUGGGGACAUGCGGCUCAGCCUGUUUGAGGGCUGAGGGAAGGAACACCCAGGGACACCCCCAAAGCAGGGCCGUCCUCCCCAGGAGCAUCAAUUGCACUUCAUUCCUGCCAUGUGUACAUGGACAAUUCUUAUUGCACAUCUGCUUGACCCAGGAAGACGCAUGGCGGUGUGGCAGGGCACCCCCUGGUGGCAGAUGUCGAGAAUAGCAAAAGCUUUCAAAGUAGGCCCAAGAAGAUUUAUUCUUUGGUUUGUUUUGGAAAGACCUCUCUCUUACUUUUAGCCUAUAAAUCUACUGACGGUAUUUCCAACUAGCCAAUGAAGAUUUGGGAUGUUCAUUUUAUGAAACACAGUGGGUACUUCUGUUUGAGAUGUUUGCUGUUAUAAGGAUAAAGCUGCAAAUUCACAGCUUGUCUUUAGCCCACCCCUGAAAUGACGUCACAGCCGAUAUAAGUGACUCAGAUUUUAAGGAAAGAAAGACACCUCUAAGGAAAGGUGGAGACAACUAGGAGGGGUUGGCUCAGGCCCUAGUAGGAGAAUUCAGCUGAAAGGGUUACACUCAUCAUGGAAGAAGACGACAAGCCAGUGACGUCAUGCAGACCCUUCCUCCAGGGAAGAGAAGAAACCCAACAAGCUCGACAGGUGUUCACAGAAGAGAUGGGGGGGGCGCUGGAGGAGUGGCUUGGUUGGUAAACUCGCUGCCAUGCAAACCUGGGGUUCAGUACCCAGCACCUAUGUAAAGGCUGGGUGCAGAAAUAUGUGUCCGGGGAGACAGAGACAGGAGGACAUCCCUGGGGCUUGCUGGACAGCAACUGAGCCAAGUCAACAAGCUCCAGGUUCAGCAAUAGACCAUGUCUCAAAAAAUAAGGUGCAGAGUGAUUGAGGAAGACACGAUAUUGACCUUGGUUGUUUAUACGCCUGAGUACAUAGGUGCACCCUGGCCCUCCCCCUACAGAUGGUGGACAUAAAUUCCCUGAAAGCAUUCUCUGCUCUCCUCUCCACUAAGCAGCAGGAGUGCAAGCUGCAGAGCUCAGGCCCACAAAGUCGGGGUAUGCGGAGGACUGUGUCCUCUGGUACUGUACUUAAACAGGUGUCUUAUUCAAGUACCAUGUCUCUGUUCCCUCUGUCCCCCAGGAGGGGGUGACCUCCCUCAUGUGUUCUGACAGACUCCAACAUGCAUACUAAAGACAAACAGGAUGUGCCUGUUUCCAGGAAUGAAGUGAUUUCCCCAGACUUAGGAAAAUGACUGACUUCCAUGGGAAAAAAAACCUGCAAGGAAGGAGAGAAGUCACGAACCCUCGCAUGUGCUGACAAGGCACCAGGUUGAACAAACAGGAUUCUAAGUCGGGUGUGCAGGCACGGAGCUGUUUUGCUUUGUUUGACAAGCCUUUAUGUCUCCUGCAUGUGGUGGGGCUGUUUUACUGGAUACAGAAUUUGAGACUGCCAGAUUUUUGUUCAGUCUUUAAAGACCCCACUCUGUUAUCUUUUGCCAUACCUGUUUUGUGAAAGCCAUGAUACUAGAGAUGAUGAUAAAGGGGCUAAUUCUCUGAAAAGACACAGCACCACUACAUGUACACAUGCUUCUCACAUUACUUUACAGCAUUAAAGCAAGUGCAGCCCGCUCUCCUUUAUCAGUAUCCCAAGAUGCCCCCCCCCCAGUGGGUGCCUGAAACCACAGGAGGUACCAACGUACACAAUGGAGGUGUUGCAAGUUUUGGACAUUGAGUGUAAGAUAACUGAUGUUAUAGACUGAGAGAAAAGAUGGACACCACACAGGAUUUGGUCUGGUUUUAGAGGAGAGAAGAAAUUGUUUCAAAGGGAAAAUCUAGAAAUAAAACAAUGGUAACAACAGACAAAACCAAACCAAACCCACACCACACUACAACGGAAAUGAGGGACAGCUUCAGGUACAGAAUCUGAAGCUCAGGACCAUCAGUCGGAAUCAGCCAUGCUGUAGUACCAAGUGGAAAAGGCUGGGUAGGAGGCACAACACCCAAGAGCUGCAGGUCAGCAACAGCCAGCUGAAGGUCUGCGACAGUGUCUCUCCAGAGGAGAGGGAGGGAGAGGAAAUAGUCAACACGCACGUGCGCGCGCGCGCACACACACACACACACACACACACCAAACAGACAGACAGAACCACCACAGGUCAGGGAAGCCAUGAGAGCAUCACUAGGGAGAUGCUAACAAGCAAACACCCCUCCCCACAGCAUACAGAGCUACCGAAAGCCAAGGCAAAGAAGGAAGACAAGUUAGAUACAGAGAAAGGAAGGUAAGAGGUGGAGCACACGGUUCAGGGUAACAGAUAAGGCAGAAGAUAACAGGUGGCAGCUUUAAAGGGAUGAAAGAAAAAAACCCUGCCAGUUGUGCCUCGAGCAGAGAGCUCUGACACAUAAAGUAGUUCAAAGGCUUUCUCAAGCCCAAAUGAGCCGGUUCACUGCCUGCUGGUCUGCACUGGAGAGUGUCAAAAUCUCGAAAGGAGGAGGACGGUGACACCAGCAGUGGCCUGACUUUACCUAGAGUGAUGGAAAUGAAAUAAGUGAAGGGGAAGAUAAAAUUCCCUCUUCUCCCCUUUUUAGAAUUUCUGAGAUAACCAGAUCUCAGCAGCCAAGAGAGCAGUGCCCGUACCUUGUCCACAGCGAGGGGAACUAAGGCGGGCAUCGAGUGUGAGGCUCUCUUUAACGAUUCUAUCUGUAAACCCCAGGUCCACGGCUAAACCAAGCACUAGUAGGUAAAUUACCUGGACAAAUAGAGUCUCUAAGUACCACAGUUAAUCCAAGAUAAGAUGACAAAUGAAAACCAAAAGGACAGAAGGGACAAGGAGAAAAGAUUUAGCAAAGAUGGUGGGUUUUCACUGAUUCACACCGUUCGUAUAGUUAAGUGCAAACAGUCAACACUGUCAAAAGAUAAAACUGUUAGAUUGGGAUUAAAGCUAAGCAAGUCUCAAGCCUGCACUACCUACAACAAUUAAGUUAUGAAUCUGAGGACAUAAGUAGUUUAAAAGACACUCUCCAAUACAAAGAGCUAGGGGGGACACCUAAUAUCAGAUAUCAGACAAGGAUGAGUUAAAAAAAAAUGGUUACAAAGAAGGGGACCAUUUACAUAAUGAUAAAGGGACCAGUUCUCCAAACAGACAGACAUAUGCAAGCUCCUAACUAAACUGCUUCCAAGUGCACACAGCAAAUGCACUAGCCACCUCACCCAUAUCUCAUGGCCGCAGUGGAUGCCCGAACAAUGGUUCUCACCCUUUCGAAUACUGUAUUUUUUCCUAGAUGAACAACCAAUGAUGGAGUUUAAUUUAUAAAUGUAUCACAGUAAGAAAUCCACAGCAGUAACUAAUGAAAUAGAACAGUAUAAAAUAUACUGAAAUCAAAGCGA